AAACUCAUUUCUCUCAUUUCAUAUUAUGGUAUCAUUUCCCUUUUCAAAAGAGGUUGUUACAAUCCUAUCUAACCUUUUCCGCUGCGUUCAUCACAUUUUUCUCGCAUCCAUUUUCUUACACCUAAGUGAUUUGAUCGUGUUUUCAUCACAAUCUUGUGUAAUUCUUCUUCAGUUUGAAGAAUUUCUUCAUUUUUCGUCAUCAAUUGAAGUUUCUUGUUUCACAAGGUUCUUCAACUUUUCAUCCUAUUUUCUCUUCGUUUGUGGUAAUUGUGUUUGUCAUCUUCAUCUUUCUCUUUGAUUCGAAUUCACCAUCAUGCCUCCUCGUCGAGAGAUCGAGAAUUCACCUUAUAUGAAUUUGCUUAUCGUACCUUAACGCAAGUGAGAAUAUAAAUCCGCUUCUAACGCUACUUAGCAAUAUUUCACAAAGUGGCAUUAAAACAUAACUGGGAUAGACCUUACUUUGUUAGGCUUCGUGAGCAUAAAUCUGAAAGAGCAAUUGGACAAGGAAGAUGUUCUAACCUAUAAGGAGAUAGAGGCUAGCUUCAUUCUUGAAGUUCAACAUGGUUGUGAUUGAGGGGCAAGCUGCGGAAGAGACAUUCAAAAUAGUCACCAUCUCUUUUUCACUUUUUACGGUGUUUCUUUUGUAUAUGAGUGUCCAUGGUUUGGUUCUUUGAGCCUUUUUAAGUCAUCAUAAAUAUAUUUUAUCCUUUCCUAACCACUUUUUGAGCCUCGAUGCAAUUCCUUUCUUUUUGGUGAAAAAUCAUAUUACAAGUUUUUGAACCUAAAAUGUUAAAGUCUGUUUGAUUUCUUUGGAGUUAAAUAUAAGAAUAUUUGGUAUUAAUUUGAAACUAAGUUUAGAGUUGUUCUUUGAAAUUAGUACCGGUUGAAUAUGGUUACUAUAAAUAAAAUGAAAUGAAAAAAUAUAGACUGAAUCAUCAAAAAUUAGUCUACACAAUAAAAAUAGAAAAAAAAAAGCCAAGCAAUAAAAAAGCCGCCGAGUAUGUUACAUCUAAAACUAUGGGGACUCACUGUAAAAUGAUUGUCGUGAAAAUCGACAGUGAUAUGGUUCAAGAAGAUUAGAAUAACUGGGAUGGAAAUCAUAAUAUAGUUUAUAUUACAGAAGAUUAUUAACAGUGAUAUGAUAUGGUUAAAGAAGAUUAAAAUAAUUAGGAUGCAAAUCAUAAUCUAGUUUAUUAUAUUACAGAAGAUUAUUAAAUAACCAACAUGCAGAAAGAAGUUGAGUCUUUAUACGCUCUAGCCAACAACAUAAAUUACGCAUAACAUAACCCACUAACACACAUGAUUCCAACUUAUAAUUUAAAGGUACUCAAGUAAUUGCUGCCUUAUUAAAAACUACUAUUACAGCUCUUCCAAGUUCCAACUUAUUUCAUCAACUCAUUUAGCCACAUCACUAUCAAUAUCAGCCUCCAACUCUUCCUUCUCCUGUAAAGCAUUAUCGCGAAACUGUUCAUCAUCCGAAUCUGAAUCGGCAGUGAUAUGGUGCAAGAAGAUUGAUUAGAAUAAU
rnacentral:lncRNA from 1 species